CCCGAACACGACUCUCCGACACAUUGUUACAAUUCGACUUUUCGGCAUGUUGUUACAAUUCGACUUUCCGGCAUGUUGUUACAAUUCGACCUUCCGGCACAUUGUUUCCGACAUGUUGCUAUUCGGCUGUUUGGAAUGAUUCGAUUUUCAAGCUCGUCGCAGGUUGCAUAUGCGUAUGGGUCUCGGCAACUUCAUCAAGCCAAGGAAAUAGAGCCAUCAGAGGGGAUUCGAGAAGGGGCUUUAGAAGCUUGUCAUACACGAUACCGCGAAGCUU
rnacentral:lncRNA from 1 species